AAAAGCAUAAUAAUAAUAUUCAAAAUUUCGUGGGAUGUAUAUUCUAUAAUUCAGUUUAUUGAUUAAACAGUAAACUUAUGACGGGUCUUUAACCUGAAUUACAGUUAAACAAUUGUUAGGUCCAAUGAGACUUGUCGCCUCAUUAAUGGGUUUUUAUUUUUGUAUUUAGUUCUUAGUCAAAUUUUAAAAAAUAACAAAGUUCUAAUCAUUAAUAUUGUAUGGAAUUUAGAUUGAAGGCAAAAUCUAGAUAAUUAACAAUGAUUUAAUAUAAAUUUAAAAGUGCUCGAGUAUAUACAUUCAAGACUAUGACGCUCGUUUUCUGUAGAACACUUUUGCUGCCAACCUAUGUGGAGGGCCUGUAGUGUGUGAUUUACAAUAGUAUUAUGUAUCGUUCAAACGAAACGAAAAACAAAAAUUCUAUAUAUUUUACGCAUUAAAAAAUUGUUUGAAGUUUUCUGUGUUUAAAUGAGGGUUUUCAAAAAUAUUCUAUUUUGAGUUAUCAACAAAGGAAAAAUCAAACUGUGUAUUUUACACUUUGUGCAUAAUACUAACAAG